rnacentral:rRNA from 1 species
CACGUAGGAGGCGAGCGUUGUCCGGAAUCAUUGGGCGUAAAGAGCGCGCAGGCGGCUUGGCAAGUCGGGUGUGAAAUCCCGGGGCUCAACCCCGUGACUGCAUCCGAUACUGUCAGGCUAGAGGUAGGUAGGGGAGAUCGGAAUUCCGGGUGUAGUGGUGAAAUGCGUAGAGAUCCGGAGGAACCCCAGAGGCGAAGGCGGCGCCCUGGCUCGCAACGUGACGCUCAGACACGACAGCAUGGGGAGCGAACGGGA